rnacentral:lncRNA from 1 species
AUGAAGUGCUUUUCCUUUUCCCUCCCAUACCUGUCUCUAACCUCCUUCCUUCCUUCCUUCCUUCCUUCCUUCCUUCCUUCCUUCCUUCCUUCCUUCCUUCCUUCCUUCCUUCCUUCCUUCCUUCCUUCCUUCCUUCCUUCCUUCCUUCCUUCCUUCCUUCCUUCCUUCACCUUUUUUUCUUUUCUCUCUCUCUCUCUCUCUCUCUCUCUCUCUCUCUCUCUCUCUCUCUCUCUCUCUCUCUCUCUCUUUGAAAAGAAGACUUCUCCAUUUCUGUUAGGAUUGUGAGUCCUGUUCAAUUCUGAUAACUCAGCCGUCUUUUAAAUUACAAUCUUGGAGGAAAAGGCAUCUUGAUUCAACUUACUUUUUAAUUACUUUUAGGUGAAUUAGACAUUUCUCUGCUGUAGUCUUUUCUUCCCUCAGAUGUAUUUAAGCCCUCAAAUCUAUUUAAAACCUUUCUUUUACCCAAAUUAACAUGCUGAGAAAUUCUGCCAUUAGAAAUGUCUAUGUAUAUGUGCAUAAAUAUAAAGUUCAGGUUUAUGGUUUCUCUCUAAUUUGGAAUACUUUUGAAUAGAAAGUGAUUCUAUCACACAGAGUCUAAUUACAGAGAAAUGUCAUCUUUAUAUGCUCAAAAAUACAUUGAAAAAAGAAGAGUGGUAUAUUGGAACAAAGACUGAAUUUAAAGUCCAAGGACUUGGGUUCAAAUUCCUAUUCUGCCAUGUAUUUGCUGUGGACUUUGAGCAAGUUACUUAACCGUUUGCUCUUUUGCCUUGGAACCAAUACACAGUACUGAUUUUAAGACAGAAGGUAAGGGUUUUUUUAAAAAAAAAAGAACAGAAGGGGAUAGGUCAGAUUUAAAUCUAAGAUUUUUUUAUUAUAUAAAUUCACUGAAGAGAGGAAUGCCUAGUAUGGUGUAAGCGCAGAAUAUCCCCAAAAUCUUUGUGUGCAGUUUUAAGCAUGUCCUUAAACUGACUUCUGAGACACCAAAAUGUAUCAGAUAAAAUAGUUAAUCCCAGUAGAAUAUUUAUCCCACCUCCCUUAUGAUAGCUGCCAUCUCCUUCCAACAAGAGUCAUACUUAGUCAGAGCCACAUCACUAAGACACUAAGAUAAUUUUGAGAAUUUCCUACUCAGUGCCAUCACUUCACACUUCCUGUCUCCAAAGUCAAAUGCUAAAUUGAGGAAGCUGGUAUUGAUGACUUCUGAUAAACAUGCCCAAGAGACAUGAAAUAUUCAGAACAGAUUUUAUGUUUUAUACCCUCCCCCAUCAGUGGAUAGAAAGCUGGACUU